rnacentral:lncRNA from 1 species
CGCUUGCCUAGCAAGCGCAAGGCCCUGGGUUCGGUUCCCAGCUCCGAAAUAAAGAAAGAAAAAAAAAAAAGAGUCGACAUGUCUAACUAGCUCCAGUCUAUCCAGUCUAAAGACCACACUUUGGGAAAAAGUCCUUGGUUAUAUGUUACCAUCCAAGCUUAAACUUUAUUUUAUCCAAUUGAAUCAGCCAGACGUUUAGCAAGCUUUCCUAUAAUGGGACAAAUACUAGCUAGCUACCUUUAGCUUUACGGCUAGUAGGGUCUCUGCUAUGACACUCAGGAUGGGCCCACCCAGUGUACCUGGAAACCUUAUUUUACACAAGCUACUCAGGUGAACAUCUCCUGUGAUUAACGAUCAUGCGAUACUUUUCUUCUCUUGCCAGAUGCAUGGCUGCUGCUGUAAAAGAUGCAGGCGUAUCACCUGAUCAGAUAUCCUAUGUCAACGCACAUGCCACCUCCACACCACUGGGUGACGCUGCUGAGAACAGAGCCAUCAAGAGGCUCUUUAGGGACCAUGCUCGUGCCCUCGCCAUAUCCUCCACAAAGGGAGCCACGGGGCAUCUUCUGGGAGCUGCAGGGGCAGUCGAGGCAGCUUUCACUGCACUGGCUUGUUACCAUCACAAACUACCGCCAACUUUAAACCUGGAUUGUACAGAGGCAGAAUUUGAUCUCAAUUAUGUUCCACUGGAGGCACAGGAAUGGAAAACCGAGGGUCGAUGUAUUGGACUCACCAAUUCCUUCGGGUUUGGUGGUACUAAUGCGACACUUUGUAUUGCUGGCAUGUAAGCUUUGGCUUUCAAUAGUCAUAAAUGUAUAAAUAGUAUGCACAUAAAUGUCUUAUCA